rnacentral:tRNA from 2 species
GUAGCUCAGUUGGUAGUAGCAAGCGUCUUAUACACGCUAGGUCCCUGGUUCGAGCCCAGGCGCGCGCACCA